GAUGAACGCUGGCGGCGUGCCUAAUACAUGCAAGUCGAGCGAACAGACGAGGAUCUUGCUCCUCUGACGUUUGCGGCGCACGUGUGAGUCACACGUGUAUCCUCUCCUUAUCAUACUGGGAUCACUUCGGGAAACCGGCUCUAAUCCCGUAUAAUCUCUUGCUCCGCAUGGUUCAAUAGAGAAAUACGGUUUUUCUGUCACUUCUCGCUGCUUCCGGGCCGCAUUAGCUAGUUGGUAAGGUAACGGCUUACCAAGGCAACGAUGCGUAGCCGAACGGAGAGGGGGAUAGGACACACGGGAACGGAGACAGGGUCAAGACGACUAAGGGAGGCAGCAGUAGGGAAUGUGACGCAAUGGGCGAAAGCCUGACGGAGCAACGGCGAGUGAGUGAUGAAGGUCUUCGGAUCGGAAAACUCUGUUAUGAGGGAAGAACAAAUGUGGAAGGAAAUAAGGAGGGAGUGACGGUACCUAAUCAGAAAGCAACGGCUAACUACGUG
rnacentral:rRNA from 1 species